rnacentral:rRNA from 1 species
ACUCCUACGGGAGGCAGCAGUAGGGAAUAUUGGUCAAUGGGCGAAAGCCUGAACCAGCCAUGCCGCGUGUCAGAUGAAGGUCCUCUGGAUUGUAAAUGACUUUUCUACGGGAAGAAUGAGCCGUCUGCGGACGGAAGUUGACGGUACCGUAGGAAUAAGCACCGGCUAACUACGUGCCAGCAGCCGCGGUAAUACGUAGGGGUGCAAGCGUUGUCCGGAUUUACUGGGUUUAAAGGGUACGUAGGCGGUUGUGCCAAGUCUGGGGUGAAAGUUUGCAGCUCAACUGUAAAAUUGCCUUGGAUACUGGUCGGCUAGAGUAGUGGAGCGGUGGCUGGAAUUUAUAGUGUAGCGGUGAAAUGCUUAGAUACUAUGAGGAACACCAAUUGCGAAGGCAGGUCACUGGUCAC